GGGGUGACCUUAAUUGAAUUUCUGCCUGCGCUGAGAGUCGCUAGGUAUAACAAGGGGUCACAUCACCUGGAGGGCAACACUUCAACCCUCAACAUGGAGCGACGCACCUUCCUCUCUGUGCUGCUGGUUCUGAGCUGUGCGGUGGCAGUGAACCUCGCGAACCCUUUGCCAAAUGACCCUGAAUCCCUUGAGGGCGAGUAUCCUUCUUUGUCUUCAAGAAUGGAACCCUUAGCAUUGAAAUCUGGCUAUGGUGGUGGCAACGGUGGUGGAAACGGUGGUAGCUACGGUGGUGGUUAUGGUGGCAGAGGUCUUGGUGGUGAUGAUGGUAGACGGGUUGGUGGUAUCGGUGCUGGAAGAGAUUAUGGUGGUGGGUAUGGCAAUAACAAUGAACAAGAACCCCAAGUUGUUUUCAAGCUGUGACUGCCUCUGGGCUUGUUUGACGGUCCUGCUCUCCUUGGCAUCCGUGGCAGGUUACACUAAGCUGGUUAACUCCCGCACCACCAGGAGAAACAUGCAACACUAACCCCAGGGACGCCAAGGAGAUAUAACCGCCACAUGGACUGACUGACUGACUGGAGAACGAUUGACUAAUCGUAUAAAAGGAUAACGGUCGUACUAUUCUGAUCUUCACGCGUCUCUCACGUUAUUUACUUGGCAGUUAUUGGAUUAAAUUGUUUGUUCUCACUUCUUGCUUUCCCUUUUCAGUAAAUGGUAAUAAUAAAGAUAUGAAUAAU